AUUGAACGCUGGCGGCAGGCCUAACACAUGCAAGUCGAACGAGUGGCGGACGGGUGAGUAAUGUCUGGGAAACUGCCUGAUGGAGGGGGAUAACUACUGGAAACGGUAGCUAAUACCGCAUACCAUCAGAUGUGCCCAGAUGGGAUUAGCUAGUUGGUGGGGUAACGGCUAACCAAGGCGACGAUCCCUAGCUGGUCUGAGAGGAUGACCAGCCACACGGGAACUGGGACACGGUCCAGAUUCGUACGGAGGGCACCAGUGGGGAAUAUUGCACAAUGGGCGCAAGCCUAAUGCAGCCAGGCGGGGUGUAUGAGGAAGGCCUUCGGGUGGUAAAGUACUUUCAGAGGGGAGGCGUUACCCACAGAAGAAGCGACGGCUAACUCCGUGCCAGCAGCCGCGGUAAUAC
rnacentral:rRNA from 1 species